rnacentral:rRNA from 1 species
UGCAAGUCGAACGGUCGUUUCUAUGGAAGCUUGCUUCCACUGAGAAGAUAGUGGCGAACGGGUGGAGUAACAACGUGGGUAACCGUAGCCCACUAAGAGGGGGAGUAACAUCCGGAAACGGGUGCUAAUACCGCAUAGUUUUCUUGAUCGCAUGAUUGAGAAAGGAAAGACGGCCUUUGUGCUGUCGCUUAUGGAUGGACCCGCGGCGUAUUAGUUAGUUGGUGAGGUAACGGCUCACCAAGACGAUGAUACGUAGCCGACCUGAGAGGGUGAUCGGCCACAUUGGGACUGAGACACGGCCCAAACUCCUACGGGAGGCAGCAGUAGGGAAUCUUCCGCAAUGGACGAAAGUCUGACGGAGCAACGCCGCGUGAGUGAAGAAAGGGUUUUCGGAUCGUAAAACUCUGUUGUCAGAGAAGAACAAGUUGGAGAGUAACUGCUCCAGCCUUGACGGUAUCUGACCAGAAAGCCACGGCUAACUACGUGCCAGCCGCAGC